rnacentral:tmRNA from 1 species
GGGGCUGAAUUUUAAGCUCGACGUUGGACUUUAACAAACUCACAUGGCAGGCCGGAUUGAUCUACACGUUAGCUGGAUCACCAAAUAUAGUUGCAGAAACAUCUGAAACUCGCGAAUCUCUAAUUGAAAAGCUCGCUGCAAAGCUUGCUCCUCAAAGCGACUUCGCACUAGCAGUUUAAUUUUAUUAGACUGCCGCUCACGAACCGACAUCAGAUAGGUUUUUCGAGCGCCAUAUUUAUCUGAUUGCUGCCUACGUAGUUGCCCCUACGUAAGCUUAAGCCCAAGGGCUGCGGUCAGCAUGUUUUUUGUUUGUCUCAAGCCUGUUGGCCAAAGAAACUAUAAGACAAACUAAGCCUGUAGUCAUUGAGUAAGUUAACUGACGGACCCGGAGGGCAGUUCUCCGGCAGCUCCACCA